rnacentral:rRNA from 1 species
AGGAAGGAGAAGUCGUAACAAGGUUUCCGUAGGUGAACCUGCGGAAGGAUCAUUGUCGAAACCUGCAAAGCAGACCGCGAACCCGUGCAUAACGAACUGCGCGUGGCGCGGCGUGGGGCAACCCACGUCUAGCCACCGUAUCCCCGCCGGCGUCGUCCCUCGGGGCGGCGGCGUGCGGGCUAACGAACCCCGGCGCGGAAUGCGCCAAGGAAAACAAAAAACGAAGCGUCCGCCCCCCGCUCCCCGUUCGCGGAGCGUGCGGGGGACCGGCCGUCUAUCAAAAUGUCAUAACGACUCUCGGCAACGGAUAUCUCGGCUCUCGCAUCGAUGAAGAACGUAGCGAAAUGCGAUACUUGGUGUGAAUUGCAGAAUCCCGUGAACCAUCGAGUCUUUGAACGCAAGUUGCGCCCGAAGCCAUUAGGCCGAGGGCACGUCUGCCUGGGCGUCACGCAUCGCGUCGCCCCCCUCCCAUCGAGGUGGGGCGGAUAUUGGCCCCCCGUGCGUCCCGGCGCGCGGCCGGCCCAAAUGCGAUCCCUCGGCGACUCGUGUCGCGACAAGUGGUGGUUGAACCUAUCAAUCUCGUUUCGUCGCGCUCCCGUGUCGUCCGAUCGGGCAUCAAUGAACGACCCAACGGCGUCGGGGCCUCACGGCUCCACGCCUUCGACCGCGACCCC